rnacentral:rRNA from 1 species
AUUGAACGCUGGCGGCAGGCCUAACACAUGCAAGUCGAACGAGUGGCGGACGGGUGAGUAAUGUCUGGGAAACUGCCUGAUGGAGGGGGAUAACUACUGGAAACGGUAGCUAAUACCGCAUACCAUCGGAUGUGCCCAGAUGGGAUGAGCGAGUUGGUUGGGUAACGGCUCACCUAGGCGACGCUCCCUAGCUGGUCUGAGAGGAUGACGAGCCACACUGGAACUGAGAAACGUUCCAGACUCCUACGGGGGGCAGCAGUGGGGAAUAGUGCACAAUGGGCGAAAGCCUGAUGCAGCCAUGCCGCGUGUAUGAAGAAGGCCUUCGGGUUGUAAAGUACUUUCAGCGGGGAGGCGUUACCCGCAGAAGAAGCACCGGCUAACUCCGUGCCAGCAGCCGCGGUAAUAC